AUUGAACGCUGGCGGCAUGCCUUACACAUGCAAGUCGAACGGCAGCACGGGAGCAAUCCUGGUGGCGAGUGGCGAACGGGUGAGUAAUAUAUCGGAACGUGCCCAGUCGUGGGGGAUAACGUAGCGAAAGCUACGCUAAUACCGCAUACGAUCUAUGGAUGAAAGCGGGGGAUCGCAAGACCUCGCGCGAUUGGAGCGGCCGAUAUCAGAUUAGGUAGUUGGUGAGGUAAAGGCUCACCAAGCCGACGAUCUGUAGCUGGUCUGAGAGGACGACCAGCCGCACUGGGACUGAGACACGGCCCAGACUCCUACGGGAGGCAGCAGUGGGGAAUUUUUGGGACAAUGGGCGGCCAAGCCUGAUCCAGCAAUGCCGCGUGCAGGAUGAAGGCCUC
rnacentral:rRNA from 1 species